rnacentral:rRNA from 1 species
UACGUAGGGUCCGAGCGUUGUCCGGAUUCAUUGGGCGUAAAGAGCUCGUAGGCGGUCUGUCGCGUCGGCUGUGAAAACCCGGAGCUCAACUCCGGGCCUGCAGUCGAUACGGGCAAACUGGAGUGUUGCAGGGGAGACUGGAAUUCCUGGUGUAGCGGUGAAAUGCGCAGAUAUCAGGAGGAACACCGGUGGCGAAGGCGGGUCUCUGGGCAACAACUGACGCUGAGGAGCGAAAGCGUGGGGAGCGAACAGG